ACGGGGGGUGCAAGCGUUGUUCGGAAUUAUUGGGCGUAAAGCGCGUGUAGGCGGUUUGUUAAGUCUGAUGUGAAAGCCCCGGGCUCAACCUGGGAAGUGCAUUGGAAACUGGCAGACUUGAAUACGGGAGAGGGUAGUGGAAUUCCUGGUUUGGGGUGGAAAUCCUAGGAUUUCGGGAGAACCACCGUGGGGGAGGCCGCCGACUGGACCGAUAUUGACGCUGAGACGCGAAAGCGUGGGUAGCAAACAG
rnacentral:rRNA from 1 species